GCUGACACUGGCCUCCAUUGCCUAUGUGACUACAGGCAUCUUCCAAUAUCUCCCAGGCUUCUAAUGCUGAUGCUGCUCGAUUAAUGUCAGCCACAAUCCAGACAGUGGAGCAACUUCCAACAAACUGAACAGACAUAACAGAAGGUCCACAAGUGUGACGUGCUGGAGAAGAGGAUUAUUAGGCACCCUGACAGUCACACACUUCACCAAGGGCCAGUACCACCUCUUCACUUUUACCUCACUGGACUCACUUCUUGUGUACUGGAUUAAUUCGACUUUCAGUUCUUUAGCCUGCAAGAAACAAUACAAUCCAUAUCAGCAAGGUUACUGGUGGAUGGUCCUGCCUGAGAAUGAAAACCAACAGCACUGUAUAUGAUUAAGCAAACAGGUUCAUUCUAUUUUGCCCUUUGACAGAAACCUAUAUGUUAAUUUUUUGAUACAAAACAAAUAAUGGUUAAACGGUUUUUCUGUUGCAGGAGAUGUCAGUGCCUCAUGUAUUCAUUAAUUCCCUGUGGAUUUAACAUCAUCUUUACCUGAGCACAAUCUGCUGCUUCUUCAACAGCCUGUUCUUGCUGUAAUAUAAAGUUAUAAGUGUGUAAGAUUUCCAUUAAACUAUUAUGCUAUUACUAAUUUGACUACACAGAUGAAUAUUACCAAUAAACAGUUGUAUUUAUAUUUUACAUGCAUAGUUUUACAUGCAAC